ACAAAGGAAUCAAAAUGCACCUGUUCCAUAACCACCAGUUCAGUCUUCAGACCAAGAUUCAAUUUUGAAGUCUAUGAUAGAGAAUUUCUUAGCUGCUCAACAAAAACAAGGAGAAAUGAUUCAACAAUUAACUUCAAGGAUAUAUCAGUUUGCCACUCAUAAUAGGAUGUUGGAAAACCAAAUAGCUCAACAAGCAAGUUCUUCUAGCAAAGCACAAGGGAAAUUUCCAAGUCAACCAGAGAAUCCUAGAGAACAUUGCAAGGCAGUGAUCCUAAGGAGUGGGAAAAUUAUGGGAGAAGGAAAGAAAUAUGAGGUAGAAGAGGAAAAAAAGAAAGAAGAUGAAGACAAGAAUGAAUCUACUUCAAAUCAUGAUGAAGUCAAUGAGGAAGCAAAUAAGAAGAAGGAAGUUGAAAAAGAAGAAGAGGAAAAGUAUGUGUCUCCACCACCAUACAAGCCACCAUUACCAUAUCCUCAGAGGUUUCAGAAAGCAAAGCUAGAUAAGUAGUUUGGGAAAUUUUUGAAAGUUUUGAAGAAGUUAUACAUCAACAUUCCAUUUACAGAUGCAAUUUCUCAAAUGCCCUCAUAUGAUAAGUUCCUGAAAGAAAUUUUGUCAAAUAAGAGGAGACUAGAAGAUUAUGAAACUGUGGCAUUAACAGAGGAGUGUAGUGCUCUCUUACAGAAUAAACUUCCACCAAAAUUGAAGGAUCCAG
rnacentral:misc_RNA from 1 species